AAUAAAGAGCUGAGUAUUUUUAAGCAGCCUGUUGACCCUAUUGUCAAUCUUUGCAUACGCUAAACAUUUCGUUAGGCAACAGACUGAUACCACUUAUCGAUUAAUUAUGAGUUACUGGUUGUAACUAAGACCACCAGCUCGCUGACCUAUGAAUAACCUUUUCAAAGUGCGUUUCUCCAUGGAGUUAACAAAUCAUUACUUUUAUUGACCGAUGUAGAUAAGCCUUUGCUUGUGGUAAACAUUUCGUCAGCCAACAGACCAGUAUUGCAUAUCGUUUAUUUAGCAGAUACUGGUUGUAAUUAAGACUACUAGUUUGCUGAGCUAUGGAUAACCCUGUGCAUGUGGUAUAUUUUCAUCAGCCAGCAGGCUGACGUCACAAUUCAAGCUGUUGACCUGAUGGAUAAUCUGUAAACAUUUCAUCAGCCAACUGGCAGGUAUCAGAUCGAUUAAUUAGCAGGCUUUCUGUUAUAAUUAAGACUGCUAGAUUGUUGACCUAUGGAUAACCCUCUGCAUGGGGUACAAAUUUCAUCAGCCAGUAGGCUGAUGUCACGUUUCAGCAUGUUGACUGAUGGAUAACCUUUUCGUUUUGUAGAAGCUGUAAAGCAUACAUCUUCUAACCUUCUGGAUAACCUUUUAAGACAAAAAAGUGGAACUUUAGAGAUAUCCUGGUGGAGUGUGUAUAUAAACUCAUUCACAGAUCAGAGAAGUCAGAGUUCUACAAGUCAAUAGCUGUGUUAUUGAUCUUGCUGCAAAGACCUAUAAAAAUGAAUCCUUCAUUGCAGAACCUUAAUGCUCUUGGCAGUGGGGCUAGUAUACAGAAGGCAACAAUGAGGUUUUCAACAUUACCUAUAAAUGAGAAGUUCAUAAUACUACGGGCAAAAAGGGUUACUACACCCUUUGGUCCGGCGGUGCUUGUGGAAUUAGAAAGCACAAAAGUCUUCCUUCCUACUCGGUUUUCUAAGAUGAGCGAGGAAGAUUUGGAGUACCUCAACAGUGGAAAAAAUUCAUUUAACAUAUACUGGAAG